rnacentral:sRNA from 2 species
AGCUGUUCCCCUCUGGAGGUUUGAAACCUUCACAACUGAAAGGGCCCAAGUUUUCUUGUGGCCCUCUUUUUUUGCACGU